GCCUGGGUGGCUCAGUCGGUUGAGCAGCCGACUUUGGCUCAGGUCAUUAUCUCGCAGUCCGUGAGUUCGAGCCUCGCAUCGGGCU
rfam:Felis catus isolate Cinnamon breed Abyssinian chromosome B1, whole genome shotgun sequence.